UACGUAGGGUGCGAGCGUUAAUCGGAAUUACUGGGCGUAAAGCGUGCGUAGGCGGUUCGUUAAGUUCGUUGUGAAAGCCCCGGGCUCAACCUGGGAACUGCAAUGGAAACUAGCGGGCUGGAGUGUGGCAGAGGGGGGUGGAAUUCCACGUGUAGCAGUGAAAUGCGUAGAGAUGUGGAGGAACACCGAUGGCGAAGGCAGCCCCCUGGGCUAACACUGACGCUCAUGCACGAAAGCGUGGGGAGCAAACAGG
rnacentral:rRNA from 1 species